UGUAGAGGUAGUGCAAUAAUAUCUGUUUCGUUGAGAAAAAAAAUUACUUGCAUGCAAUAUCUGUUGGCGUGGUUGGCUUGGUCGUGAAUGAGGUGAUUAAUCAAAUGGAAGAAUUUCAAUUGAGAGUUGUCUAGAAUUUCCAUUCAGAAUCCACAAAUUCAUCAUCAUGCAAUUGAGAGUUGUCUAGAAUUUCCAUUCAGAAUCCACAUAAUUCAUCAUCAGCUGAUUAAAAUCGAGAGAUCAAAUUCCAAUCCAAUGGCGUCGAUGUUAUCGCAGACGCAGAGGUACGCCGCCGGAGGUCUGUUCGGGCUGGCCCUCCACCAGGCUCAGAUCCACCAGACCCGCCCAUUCCCCUCCUCCUCCGCCGCCGAUCGCAUCGGCAUCGGCAUCGGCAUCAGCAGCAGCGACUCUGCCCCCGAGGAACCCCAGCUUUGGGUCCACGAGUCUUCCGGCCUUCUCCGCCCUGUAUUCAGGUUCUUGGAGAUAGAUAAUAAGGCGUGGUCCAGGCUUGAGGAAACUGUUGGGUCUUCUCCUGCUAAGCAUCAUAUUGGAGAGUUCUUGAAAUUACUCUCAGAAGAAAGCUGCAACACCUCAGAAAUAAUGGGUAAGGAUACCUCCUCAGAAAUGAAGUAUAAGGAUCCAAAAGAAAUGAAGGAAAAGGAACUUGCCUUGUCGAAAGCUAUUGAUGUCAUGGCACAAACCAUGGAAACAAUUCCUCCUGAUUGUGAGUCUGAGAUGGAAAAGCAUUGUAAGUAUGAAAAUGAUCAUCAGCAGAAAUGUUCUAUUGACAGGCAAUCAAAAUCUGAAGUGCCAAAAAUGGACCUUGGAACUCCAGAGGAGACCAAUCAUAAUAUGAUUAGCAUUGAAAAGGCAACUAAUCAGUCUGACAGUCAUAUGGAUGAAAAACCUUUAGAGGAGGUAAUGAUACUUAGUUAUCAUAGGAAAGUGACAGUUCUGUAUGAACUUCUUUCAGCUUGUCUGUCAGAUAUACCUGAAGGUAACAAAUAUUCUAAACAACGAAGAAAGGGCUAUGAUGCUCGACAUCGCGUAGCUCUGCGGUUGCUGACAACCUGGUUUGACAUCGAGUGGAAUAAAAUGGAAGCCAUGGAGAUUAUGAUUGCUUGCUCGGCAAUGGCUUUAGCAAAAGGGGAACAAUCAAAAGAAGGAGAUACCCAAUCACCAGACAGCUCUUGGGACAAGUGGAAACGUGGAGGUAUAAUAGGUGCAGCUGCAUUAACUGGAGGAACCUUAAUGGCAAUUACUGGCGGGUUAGCUGCUCCAGCUAUUGCCGCGGGUUUAGGUGCCUUAGCACCUACAUUGGGCACCCUCGUCCCUGUGAUAGGAGCAAGCGGGUUCGCUGCAGCUGCAACUGCUGCAGGAACUGUUGCCGGUUCGGUUGCAGUGGCUGCAUCAUUUGGAGCCGCUGGAGCUGGACUUACUGGGUGUAAAAUGGCUAGGAGAACUGGAAGCGUUGAUGAAUUUGAGUUCAAAGCUAUUGGGGAAAAUCACAACCAAGGCCGGCUCGCAGUUGAGAUCUUGGUAUCGGGACUUGUUUUUGAGGAGGAAGAUUUUAUCAAGCCCUGGGAAGGACAACAUGAUAACUUGGAAAGGUAUGCGCUGCAGUGGGAGUCUGAGAAUCUGAUUGCUGCAAGCACUGCAAUUCAGGACUGGCUUACAUCAAAAGUUGCUGUGGAGUUAAUGAAGGGAGGUGCCAUGAUGACUGUAUUAAGUACUCUUAUGACAGCAUUGGCAUGGCCAGCAGCAUUACUUACUGCUUCUGAUUUUAUUGACAGCAAAUGGGCAAUUGCAGUGAACAGAUCUGAUAAGGCGGGAAUGCUGCUUGCUGAAGUGUUGCUGAAAGAAUUGCAAGGACACAGGCCUGUGACACUUAUAGGUUUUUCACUCGGAGCACGAGUGAUUUUUAAGUGCCUCCAGUUCUUGGCUGAGGCUGAACAUAAUGCUGAACUUGUUGAAAGAGUUGUUCUUUUUGGGGCACCUAUUUCAAUUAAAGAUGAGAACUGGGAAGCAGCUAGACAGGUAGUGGCUGGAAGAUUUGUGAAUGUUUAUUCUACAAAUGAUUGGAUGCUAGGAGUUGCUUUUCGUGCUAGCCUACUUUCUCAAGGAUUAGCUGGAAUUCAACCAAUUGAUGCUCCUGGAAUUGAGAAUGUUGAUGUAACAGAAGUCAUUGAAGGCCACUCUUCUUAUCUGUGGGUUACGCAGCAGAUCCUUGACCAACUUGAACUCGAUGACUAUAAUCCUGUUUCUUGUAGCGUUCUCAUCAAACAUUAGAAUGGGACUUGUUAACUAGUUCAGCUCAAUUCUUCCUUUUCUCAUUCUCCGAGUGAGAGCACUUUUUCAUUUUCAAAUUCCUCAGCAACAGAAGCAUAGAUAUGGUAGCAAGAGAACUUGUACCUGGUCAUGCCUAUCUUAUGAAUUCAGGAAUAAACAAAGACCCUUGGCGGUAUAUUCACUGAAUAUUUGAGGAUUCUAUUCCCAAAGAAUGAAGAAGUUUUUGCUCAUUUCAAGAAUUUGGAAGAGGAUGCAUAUACUUUUAUAUUUUGAUUUUCAUAUUCUUUACUAGAGUCAGCUCUGCAAAUAAAUGUGUCCGCGAAGGCUUGAUGAUGUAUGUUUCCAGUAAACUAAGCUUCCGAAUGUGCUAUUUUGAUAUUGUUUAUCAUUUCAAGAAUUAACCUCUAACUUAUAGCCAAUGUUUCUUGUCUGGUAAAUGUUUUUAUCAAAUACUUUUAGGUGCCCACAAGUUAGGCCUUCGUGACACAACAAAGCUGCUAUCUUGUCCUAGUGAAGAUUUUUGCUUACUAUCGAGAAACAAAUUAUUUUUGUCUAUUUGUGAGGCGUU